rnacentral:rRNA from 1 species
ACACAUGCAGUCGACGGUAACAGGGACUUCGGUCCGCUGACGAGUGGCGCACGGGUGAGUAACGCGUGGGUUACCUGCCCAUAAGUGGGGAACAACUUGGAGAAAUCCAAGCUAAUACCGCAUAAUACCUUCGGGUUAAAGAGGGGGAUCUUCGGACCUCUCGCUUAUGGAUGGUCCCGCGUCUGAUUAGCUAGUUGGUAGGGUAAUGGCCUACCAAGGCAAUGAUCAGUAGCUGGUCUGAGAGGAUGAUCAGUCACACUGGAACUGAGACACGGUCCAGACUCCUACGGGAGGCAGCAGUGGGGAAUUUUGCACAAUGGGCGAAAGCCUGAUGCAGCGACGCCGCGUGCGGGAAGAAGGCCUUCGGGUUGUAAACCGCUUUCAACAGGGAAGAAGGAAUGAGAGCUAAUACCUCUCUGCCUUGACGGUACCUGUAGAAGAAGCACCGGCUAAUUUCGUGCCAGCAGCCGCGGUAAUACGAAAGGUGCAAGCGUUGUUCGGAUUUACUGGGCGUAAAGAGAUCGUAGGUGGCUUGUUAAGUCGGAUGUGAAAUCCCGGGGCUCAACCCCGGAACUGCAUCCGAUACUGGCAGGCUUGAGUUUGGGAGGGGUAAGCGGAAUUCCGUGUGUAGCAGUGAAAUGCGUAGAUAUACGGAGGAACACCUGAGGCGAAGGCGGCUUACUGGACCAAUACUGACACUGAGGAUCGAAAGCGUGGGUAGCAAACAGGAUUAGAUACCCUGGUAGUCCACGCCCUAAACGAUGUCAACUAGCCGUUGCGGGUAUCGACCCCUGCAGUGGCGCAGCUAACGCGAUAAGUUGACCGCCUGGGGGGAGUACGGUCGCAAGAUUAAAACUCAAAGGGAAUUGACGGGGCCCGCACA